rnacentral:rRNA from 1 species
AGUGAACGCUGGCGGUAGGCCUAACACGUGCAAGUCGAACGGCAGCACAGUAAGAGCUUGCUCUUACGGGUGGCGAGUGGCGGACGGGUGAGGAAUACAUCGGAAUCUACUUUUUCGUGGGGGAUAACGUAGGGAAACUUACGCUAAUACCGCAUACGACCUACGGGUGAAAGCAGGGGAUCUUCGGACCUUGCGCGAGUGAAUGAGCCGAUGUCGGAUUAGCUAGUUGGCGGGGUAAAGGCCCACCAAGGCGACGAUCCGUAGCUGGUCUGAGAGGAUGAUCAGCCACACUGGAACUGAGACACGGUCCAGACUCCUACGGGAGGCAGCAGUGGGGAAUAUUGGACAAAGGGCGCAAGCCUGAUCCAGCCAUACCGCGUGGGUGAAGAAGGCCUUCGGGUUGUAAAGCCCUUUUGUUGGGAAAGAAAAGCAGCAGGUUAAUACCUCGCUGUUCUGACGGUACCCAAAGAAUAAGCACCGGCUAACUUCGUG